UACGUAGGGUGCAAGCGUUAAUCGGAAUUACUGGGCGUAAAGCGUGCGCAGGCGGUUUUGUAAGUUUGUCGUGAAAGCCCCGGGCUCAACCUGGGAUCGCGAUGAAGACUGCAAGGCUUGAAUCUGGCAGAGGGGGGUAGAAUUCCACGUGUAGCAGUGAAAUGCGUAGAGAUGUGGAGGAACACCGAUGGCGAAGGCAGCCCCCUGGGUCAAGAUUGACGCUCAUGCACGAAAGCGUGGGGAGCAAACAGG
rnacentral:rRNA from 1 species